rnacentral:rRNA from 1 species
UAAAGCAAGAAAGGGCGUAUGGGGAAUGCCUAGGCACACUCCGGCGAAGAAGGACGCAGCAAACAGCGAAAUGCGACGGUGAGCGGUAAGCACGUGAAGAGCCGUCGAUAUCCGAAUGGGGGAACCCACACGGAGUCAUAUCCGUGUAUCACAUGUCGAAUACAUAGACAUGAUGAGGCGAGACGCAGGGAACUGAAACAUCUAAGUACCUGCAGGAAGAGAAAAUAAGAAUGAUUUUCUGAGUAGCGGCGAGCGAAAGGGAAAGAGCCCAAACCGAUCUUAGGAUCGGGGUAGUAGGAUCAUCGAGAAAUCUGACAGAGGAUCAUAGAGGAAUCACAUGGGAAGGUGAGCGAGAGAGGGUGAGAGCCCCGUACUCGAAAUGAGAGACUGGAGAGAGAUGACACCUGAGUAGGGCGGGACACGAGAAAUCCUGUCUGAAUCAGCCGGGACCAUCCGGCAAGGCUAAAUACGAGAGAGUGACCGAUAGUGAACCAGUACCGUGAGGGAAAGGUGAAAAGAACCCCGGGAGGGGAGUGAAAGAGAACCUGAAACCAUAUGCCUACAAGAAGUCAGAGCCCGUUAAAGGGUGAUGGCGUGCCUUUUGUAGAAUGAACCGGCGAGUUACUGUAUGGAGCGAGGUUAAGCAGGAUAUGCGGAGCCGAAGCGAAAGCGAGUCUUAAGAGGGCGAGAGUUGCAUGCAGUAGACCCGAAACCGGGUGAUCUAGCCAUGACCAGGUUGAAGUUGGGGUAAAACCCGAUGGAGGACCGAACCGACCCCCGUUGAAACGUUGGCGGAUGAGUUGUGGCUAGGGGUGAAAUUCCAAUCGAACCCGGAGAUAGCUGGUUCUCCCCGAAAUAGCUUUAGGGCUAGCGUCGGAAAGAACCUUAGUGAAGGUAGAGCACUGAAUGUGUGAUGGCCCCAUCCCGGGGUACUGAAUACAAUCAAACUGCGAAUGUCAUUAAGGAUGUCCGGCAGUCAGACUGUGAGUGAUAAGGUCCAUGGUCAAGAGGGAAACAGCCCAGACCGCCAGUUAAGGUCCCAAAAUACAGGCUAAGUGGAAAAGGAUGUGGGGAUGCCCAGACAACUAGGAGGUUGGCUCAGAAGCAGCCAUCCUUUAAAGAGUGCGUAACAGCUCACUAGUCGAAUGACUCUGCGCCGAUAAUUUACCGGGGCUAAGCAUACUACCGAAGCUAUGGAUCCCAAGGGAUGGUAGGGGAGCGUUCCAUGAACGGAGAAGUACGACCGAAAGGACGUGUGGAGAUCAUGGAAGAGAGAAUGCCGGUGUGAGUAGCGGAACGUGGGUGAGAAUCCCACGCACCGAAAACCCAAGGUUUCCAGAGGAAGGUUCGUCCGCUCUGGGUAAGUCGGGACCUAAGGCGAGGCCGAAAGGCGUAGUCGAUGGACAACAGGUAGAGAUUCCUGUACCCGUAUAUAUGUGAAGGAAUGACGGAGAGAGGAAGCUGCAGCCAGCGGCUGGAAGAGCUGGUGCAAGCGAGAUAUCGGGAUGGCAGGCAAAUCCACCAUCCGAAACGAGAAGGCGUGAAGCGUACGGAAAGCUACGGCGAGUACGGAAGGCAGUGGAGGAACUUCCAAGAAAAGUUUCUAACGUUAAGUAUAUAUGGCCCGUACCGAAAAUGGACACACAUGGGUGAGGAGAGAAUCCUAAGGUGAGCGAGAGAACUAUAGCUAAGGAACUCUGCAAAAUGACUCCGUAACUUAGGGAGAAGGAGUGCUCAUAGAGAUAUGAGCCGCAGUGAAACGGCCCAAGCGACUGUUUACCAAAAACACAGCUCUCUGCUAAGCCGCAAGGCGAAGUAUAGGGGGUGACGCCUGCCCGGUGCUGGAAGGUUAAGGGGAGGGGUUAACGCAAGUGAAGCCCUGAACUGAAGCCCCAGUAAACGGCGGCCGUAACUAUAACGGUCCUAAGGUAGCGAAAUUCCUUGUCAGGUAAG